rnacentral:rRNA from 1 species
CCCCGGAAAAGGGACAGUCGGUCACUCCCUCCCCUGUGAAAUACCUAUACGUUGCCUCGGCGGAUCAGCCCGCGCCCCGUAAAAAGGGACGGCCCGCCCGAGGACCCCUAAACUCUGUUUUUAGUGGAACUUCUGAGUAAAACAAACAAAUAAAUCAAAACUUUCAACAACGGAUCUCUUGGUUCUGGCAUCGAUGAAGAACGCAACAAAAUGCGAUAAGUAAUGUGAAUUGCAGAAUUCAGUGAAUCAUCGAAUCUUUGAACGCACAUUGCGCCCGCCAGUAUUCUGGCGGGCAUGCCUGUUCGAGCGUCAUUUCAACCCUCAAGCUCAGCUUGGUGUUGGGACUCGCGGUAACCCGCGUUCCCCAAAUCGAUUGGCGGUCACGUCGAGCUUCCAUAGCGUAGUAAUCAUACACCUCGUUACUGGUAAUCGUCGCGGCCACGCCGUAAAACCCCAACUUCUGAAUGUUGACCUCGGAUCAGGUAGGAAUACCCGCUGAACUUAGGCAUAUCAAUAGCAGGAGG